rnacentral:rRNA from 1 species
CCUACGGGUGGCUGCAGUGGGGAAUAUUGCACAAUGGGGGGAACCCUGAUGCAGCGACGCCGCGUGAAGGAAGAAGUAUUUCGGUAUGUAAACUUCUAUCAGCAGGGAAGAACAUGACGGUACCUGACUCAUCAGACCCGGCUAACUACGUGCCAGCAGCCGCGGUCAUACGUAGGGGGCAAGCGUUAGCCGGAUUUACUGUGUGUAAAGGGAGCGUAGGCGGAAGUGCAUGUCAGAAGUGAAAGCCCAGGGCUCAACCAUGGGACUGCUGUUGAAACUGUACAGCUAGAUUGCAGGAGAGGUAAGUGGAAUUCCUAGUGUAGCGGUGAAAUGCGUAGAUAUUAGGAGGAACACCAGUGGCGAAGGCGGCUUACUGGACUGUAAAUGACGCUGAGGCUCGAAAGCGUGGGGAGCAAACAGGAUUAGAUACCCUUGUAGUC